GAUGAACGCUGGCGGUGUGCCUAAUACAUGCAAGUCGAGCGAACGGACGAGAAGCUUUCGUCUCUGCUGUUAGCGGCGGACGGGCGAGUAACACGUGCAUAACCUUCUUCUAUGACUGGGAUAAUUACGUGAAGCCGUAGCCGAUACUGCAUAAUACUAUGAACGGCUGGGAUCAAAAGUGCAUGACGGCCUUGCUGUCUCUUUUAGCUGGUUUCGCGUUGGAUUAGCUAGUUGGUAAGGUAACGGCCUACCAAGGCGACGAUGCGUAGCCGACCUGAGAGGAUGAUCGGCCACACUGGAACUGAGACACGGUCCAGACUCCUACGGGAGGCAGCAGUGGGGAAUAUUGGGCAAUGGGCGAAAGCCUGACGGAGCAAUGCCGCGUGAGUGAUGAAGGUCUUCGGGUCGUAAAACUCUGUUGUUGGGGAAGAAAAUCUGUGGAUUUAACUGUGCACAUCUUGACGGUACCUAAACAGAAAGCAACGGCUAACUUCGUG
rnacentral:rRNA from 1 species